UAGUACAAUAUAGUGUCGCAAAAUCGACUUUGACAGUGUAUCACUUCUAAAUUAUCAAGUUAAUUAAUGAAAUGGGAACGAUGAAAUAACAACACAAUGAUAAAACAGAAAUAUUCCGAAAAUAGAUCACACACUAAAAACUGAUCCAAAAUAGAAACAAAAUUAUACUCUUUCAUAAUACGCAUGUUUCACCCUAUUUCCAAUUAUUUCAAUUAUUGAAUCUCAGCAAGGAAUUAUGGUAGUUUUGGAUAUAAUUUUGCGGUAGAUUCUUUGUCUCUGCCUCUUUGUCUGUCUGUCUGUCUGUCUGUCUGUCUGUCUGUCUGUCUGUCUGUCUGUCUGUCUGUCUCUCUCUCUCUCUCUCUCUCUCUCUCUCUUCCUAAAGCUUUCUUGGUUUAUUACAUAUUUGUCUUCAUAAACGGCUUGCACAACAAAAUCAUAUACCACAUAUCAUAUAUAUAUAUAUAUAUAUUGAUACUGAUAUCGGUAUUAUGGGAACAUCAGGCGGUGUAAAUACAUAAUUAUUUUCUAAGUGUAGUAGUGGAGGAAAUAUUAAAAUCAAUUUAAUUCUUUUUAAUUGUAUCCUGUAUUUUUGUACCGAUAAUUUUUUUAUCUUGCAGUGCUGGUUGAAGCUAAUACAACGCCACAAUACAAUGCCACAUGAUAUCGUUUCAUAUAGCAGAGUGUGUCAAACUAGAUCCGAAAAUCAACGUAAAUCAAUAACUGAACCCUACUUGUCUGCAUCGUGUAAUGCCAUCGAAUGACGUCGCGUAUGGUUUAGCUACCGAUUUACGACACCUCACACACACACACACAAACACGCGCGCGCGCGCACAGAGGCAACUAACAGUUCCAGAGUUGGUUGCACCUCAACUUUAUGAUCUAUCAUUUUACAGAAUUAUAAUACUCCAUAUGUUCAUUACGCUUACAUCUUAUACAAUGUAUCUCGUAGCUGACGAUACAACCGAAGAGAAGGUGACAUUAUAUGAGAAGAUAAAUUGAAAUCAUGUAACAAGGUUUUUCCACGCAGAGAUGUACUAUCAUUUCACCGUUCCCAUUUCAAGCAAAAUUCUGAUAAACGAAACGAAUUUUUGCGCCUAUAUAUUAUACAGUUAUAAGAAAUAUUUAUAUGCCAUUCGUUAAAUUUGGACAAUCAACACAUCACUGAAUGAUACGCAAUGAUGAAAGUACAUAUAGGAUAAAUGAAUACAGGUCUUUAAUGACGGCUCAGCUUAAUUUGUAUGCGGAUAUAGAGCAUACGAUAACGAUUGGGUAAAAAUAGGAGUAAGAACACGAUUCUAUUUUGCGUGCAAUUGAUUUGUCAAACGUCAAUGAAGCUUUAUUGAGUACAGAAUCCAUGAAAAAGAAAAAUAUAGGUACCUCCACUUCUAAUAUAUGCAUGUAUAUGUUUCAUAUACAUUUUAAGAUCUCGUUCGAAUAGAAUAUUCAAACUAGUAAUAUAUUGUUCCGAAAAGUUACAAUAGGGUAUUCUAUGAUUUUCAUUUGCUUGAGAAAUGAAACAACUGUUCUCAAUAAUUAUCUUACAAUAAUUUUUAUAUAUAUAUAUAUAUAUAUAUACAUAUU